rnacentral:pre_miRNA from 1 species
ACCAUGGCUUUCGAUUGUUACUAGGGUAACCCGAGGUAACAGUUUACAGUUCAUGGUCG